rnacentral:rRNA from 1 species
UACAGAGGGUGCGAGCGUUGUCCGGAAUCACUGGGCGUAAAGCGCACGUAGGCGGAUUGCUAAGUCAGGGGUGAAAUCCUGGAGCUCAACUCCAGAACUGCCUUUGAUACUGGCAACCUUGAGUCCGGGAGAGGUGAGUGGAACUGCGAGUGUAGAGGUGAAAUUCGUAGAUAUUCGCAAGAACACCAGUGGCGAAGGCGGCUCACUGGCCCGGUACUGACGCUGAGGUGCGAAAGCGUGGGGAGCAAACAGG